ACGAACGCUGGCGGCGUGCUUAACACAUGCAAGUCGAACGCUGAAGCUUGGUGCUUGCACUGGGUGGAUGAGUGGCGAACGGGUGAGUAAUACGUGAGUAACCUGCCCUUGACUCUGGGAUAAGCCUGGGAAACUGGGUCUAAUACUGGAUACGACAUGUCACCGCAUGGUGGUGUGUGGAAAGGGUUUUACUGGUUUUGGAUGGGCUCACGGCCUAUCAGCUUGUUGGUGGGGUAAUGGCUCACCAAGGCGACGACGGGUAGCCGGCCUGAGAGGGUGACCGGCCACACUGGGACUGAGGCACGGCCCAGACUCCUACGGGAGGCAGCAGUGGGGAAUAUUGCACAAUGGGCGGAAGCCUGAUGCAGCGACGCCGCGUGAGGGAUGACGGCCUUCGGGUUGUAAACCUCUUUCAGCACGGAAGAAGCGAAAGUGACGGUACGUGCAGAAGAAGCGCCGGCUAACUACGUG
rnacentral:rRNA from 1 species